rnacentral:rRNA from 1 species
AUACGUAGGUGACAAGCGUUAUCCGGAUUUACUGGGCGUAAAGGGCGUGUAGGCGGUCUUGCAAGUCAGAAGUGAAAUUCCUGAGCUCAACUCGGGCGCUGCUUCUGAAACUGCAGGUCUUGAGUGCUGGAGGGGAUAGCGGAAUUCCUAGUGGAGCGGUUAAAUGCGCAGAUAUUAGGAAGAACACCAGUGGCGAAGGCGGCCUGCUGGACGACAACUGACGCUGAGGCGCGAAAGCGUGGGGAGCAAACAGGAUUAGAUACCCUGGUAGUCCACGCUGUAAACGAUGAAUACUAGGUGUGGGGGGACUGACCCCCUCCGUGCCGCAGUUAACACAAUAAGUAUUCCACCUGGGGAGUACGAUCGCAAGAUUGAAACUUAAAGGAAUUGGCGGGG